AAGGAAAUUAGGUUAAUCAGACCAAGAGCCUUCAAAGCUCUAAGCAAAUAAACAUUAUUUAUUUCCUG
rnacentral:tRNA from 1 species